rnacentral:rRNA from 1 species
UGGGCACUCUAGCAAGACUGCCGGUGACAAACCGGAGGAAGGUGGGUGGGGAUGACGUCAAAUCAUCAUGCCCCUUAUGACCUGGGCUACACACGUGCUACAAUGGGAAGUACAUACAACGAGUNGCGANNUCGCGAGGCUAAGCUGAUCUCNUAAAGCUUCUCUCAGUUCGGAUUGCUGAGAGGCUGCAACUCGCCUACAUGAAGCCGGAAUCGCUAGUAAUCGCGGAUCAGCACGCCGCGACGGUGAAUACGUUCCCGGGCCUUGUACACACCGCCCGUCACACCACGAGAGUUUGUANCACCCACACGAAGUCGGUGAGGUAACCUUUUGGAGCCAGCCGCCUAAGGUGGGAUAGAUGAUUGGGGUGAAGUAA